UACGUAGGGGGCUAGCGUUGUCCGGAAUCAUUGGGCGUAAAGGGUGCGUAGGCGGUUAUGUAAGUCAGGUGUGAAAGCCCCGGGCUCAACCUGGGAAUUGCAUUUGAGACUGCAUAGCUUAGGGUGCGGAAGAGGGAAGCGGAAUUUCCGGUGUGAGCGGUGAAAUGCGUAGAUAUCGGAAGGAACAUCAGUGGCGAAGGCGGCUUUCUGGCCUGUUC
rnacentral:rRNA from 1 species